rnacentral:antisense_RNA from 1 species
CCACACACACGCUGGAGUAGGGUUUAAAAAGGGGCUUGUUUAAUUAAUUAAAUACAAGGAUGAGGCCAGCUCAGAGACCCCCCACACACACUCACACCCCCUGAGGAUGCCGGACCACCCAUGGGGGCCCAGAAAAAAAUGAAUCCGUGCCUGAAAAAAUAUUCUACCCGGUGCAAAAAAAACGAGCUACCCCAGGAGGCUGCACAGCCAGCCCUCUGCUUCCAGUCCACGAGGCAAGACCUCAACCACGGGCCAGGGCCCACCUCUUCCAAGCACCCAGGAGAAGGAGGGGAGGCCAGGGAAGCAGGGCCGGGCCAGGCUGCAGCCCAGGCCCGGAAGAGCCUGCAACCCCGGCGGGCAUGGGCUCCACGGCCCCACCUGCAGGCCAGGGAGGGCAGCGCAGCCCAACGGCCGCAGUCGUCAAGGGAGAGUUGAUUGUCACGUGAUACCGCAAAGGCCAAAGUCAGCAAGGCAGGGACUGGAGGGCCAAGCCCGGU